rnacentral:rRNA from 1 species
UACGUAGGGUGCAAGCGUUAAUCGGAAUUACUGGGCGUAAAGCGUGCGCAGGCGGUUUUGUAAGUCUGUCGUGAAAUCCCCCGGGCUCAACCUGGGAAUUGCGAUGGAGACUGCAAGGCUAGAAUCUGGCAGAGGGGGGUAGAAUUCCACGUGUAGCAGUGAAAUGCGUAGAGAUGUGGAGGAACACCGAUGGCGAAGGCAGCCCCCUGGGUCAAGAUUGACGCUCAUGCACGAAAGCGUGGGGAGCAAAGAGAUUAGUAGACCUGACUGA